rnacentral:rRNA from 1 species
AUUGAACGCUGGCGGCAUGCUUUACACAUGCAAGUCGAACGGUAACAGGCCGCAAGGUGCUGACGAGUGGCGAACGGGUGAGUAAUGCAUCGGAACGUGCCCAGUCGUGGGGGAUAACUACUCGAAAGAGUAGCUAAUACCGCAUACGAUCUAUGGAUGAAAGCGGGGGACCGUAAGGCCUCGCGCGAUUGGAGCGGCCGAUGUCAGAUUAGGUAGUUGGUGGGGUAAAGGCUCACCAAGCCAACGAUCUGUAGCUGGUCUGAGAGGACGACCAGCCACACUGGGACUGAGACACGGCCCAGACUCCUACGGGAGGCAGCAGUGGGGAAUUUUGGACAAUGGGCGCAAGCCUGAUCCAGCAAUGCCGCGUGCAGGACGAAGGCCUUCGGGUUGUAAACUGCUUUUGUACGGAACGAAACGGCUCUGGUUAAUACCCGGGGCUAAUGACGGUACCGUAAGAAUAAGCACCGGCUAACUACGUG